AAUAGAUACCCCGGUAGUCCUAGCCGUAAACGAUACUCGCUAGGUGUCGGCCACGGCGCGACCGUUGUCGGUACCGUAGGGAAGCCGUGAAGCGAGCCACCUGGGAAGUACGGCCGCAAGGCUGAAACUUAAAGGAAUUGGCGGGGGAGCACCACAACGGGUGGAGCUUGCGGUUUAAUUGGAUUCAACGCCGGAAAUCUUACCGGGACCGACAGCAAUAUGAAGGCCAGGCUGAAGACUUUGCCGGAUUAGCUGAGAGGUGGUGCAUGGCCGUCGUCAGUUCGUACUGUGAAGCAUCCUGUUAAGUCAGGCAACGAGCGAGACCCACGCCCACAGUUGCCAGCGUACUCUCUGGAGUGACGGGUACACUGUGGGGACCGCCGCUGCUAAAGCGGAGGAAGGAAUGGGCAACGGUAGGUCAGUAUGCCCCGAAUAUCCCGGGCUACACGCGAGCUACAAUGGUUGGUACAAUGGGUAUCUACCCCGAAAGGGGACGGAAUCUCCUAAAACCAUCUUAGUUCGGAUUGAGGGCUGCAACUCGCCCUCA
rnacentral:rRNA from 1 species